AUUGAGUUGUGUUGAUGGACAUGGCCGCUUUGGCAUCCCUUGGUGCUAAUUGGCAAUGUCAAUGAUAUAUUGAUUGAUGUUAAUGACAUAAAUGGCGCAUCAGCAUCUUGUGCAACACCAACUAUAGUUUAUUCACUGAACCCUAAUUUUUUAUUAUGAGAUACUUUUAACUAAAACUAUGAUUCUGUAUUUGCACAACGAUGAUGUAAACUUCAAACUUGUUUGCGCCCUAGCGAAUACUACCAAAUCUUGCAUUGCAUUACCUAAUUUACAUAUCUAUUCCCUUACUUUUUAAGUCAUAAAUGUUUCAAAUAAAACCGGAGAGACGAACCUGCCAAUGGCUGAAAGUCUCAUUAAUAAGGACAAAUCAAUCAAUCAAUCAAAUAAAACGGAAUUUCGUGGAAAACGUUCUAUGCAAAUUGUCCCUCUGUUAUUGGCUAUUUCCGGUCAAAAUUUGUUUAAGGUGGAAUUACUUAGUAGCUUCCAACGUUUCGGGCCUUGGUUUGGGCCUUCCUCAGGGAGGUCUAAAAUUAAGUUUAUUUAUUAUGUUUAGAUUAUGGUUUGUGUUUUUUUUUUUACAAAAAAUACUCACUAUAGGCGUACCACCAGGCUUGUCCGCACUGAGCGCAGGAAAAUAUUGCUCUUUGGAUUUACACCAUCAAGCACAUCACAAAUUCGAAAUCUUUUCAUCUUAUCAGAUAGAAGGAUGUUGAAAUAUUCUAAAUGUCAUUUCAAACUGUCAAAAAACUGGACCGCAGCGCCGCACGGGCCGUUCAAAGUGAAAUUCACUGGAGUGUUUUCACCCGGGUGAAAAUUUCUUUGCGCGCUCCGUGUGGCUCUGCGGUGCGGUUUUUCGACAGUUCGAAAUGACAUUUACAAUAUUUCAACAUUCUUCUAUCUGAUAAGAUGAAAAGAUUUCUAAUUUAUGAUGUGCUUCAUGGUGUAAAUCCAAAGAGCAGAAUUUUCAUGCGCUCAGUGCGGACAAGCCUGCGUACCACUAGCGUUUCAUCACCCUUUGCUCGGCUGUGGCUGUCGGAAUGGCUUUGUGGUCUGUCCAGUGCUGAAAAAUUCAUUUCGUCACAUCUAAAUUCAAACACCUACAGCUCAUUUUAGAAGCUGAACCUGAGAAUAUGAUAUAUGAAAAACUUGUGCGGCUAGCCCGGUUCUGCCAGAAAGUCACGGAAAAAUCGCAACUUUUUGAAUAUUUAAGGUAAAUGUCACGGACUUCCUUCGAAAAAUCCCAAUGAUAUUCACGGUGAAUAUCAUUUGCCAUUUUUCAAAGGUAGUCCGUGACAUUUACCUUAAAUAUUCGUAAAAUAGCGGGUUUUCCGUGACUUUCUUGCAGAACUGGUCUAGCCGCACAAGUUUUUCAUAUACCAUAUUCUCAGGUUCAGCUUCUAAAGUGAGCUGUAGGUGAUUGAAUUUAGAUAUGACGAAAUGAAUUUUUCAGCACUGGGUCUGUCUGUACGCCUAUAGUGAGUAAUUUUUGUAAAAAAAUAACACAAACCAUAAUCCCAACAUAAUGAAUAAACACAAUUUUAGACCUCCCUGAGGAAGGCCCAAACCACGGGUCGAAACGUUGGGAGCUACUAAGUUAUCCCGCUUAAAACCAGAUUUGACCGGAAAUAGCCAAUAACAGAGGGACAAUUUAUAAAAACCCUGGUCGCAUUAGCCAAUAACAGAGGGACAAUUUAUAAAAACCCUGGUCGCAUUCCAAAUAGUUCUAUAUAGAAAAUUACAAGUAAUAGUUAGAUCAUUUGAAGCAAAGAGAAUGUUGUUCCAAUUCAUUAAAAAUGAAAACAACGAGGUGUGUCUUGAUGUUAAUUUGCGUUUCACAAGAGUCUCCUCUAAUGGACCGAAUACCAGUAGAGGUACAGGGGAUGGCCAAAAUGUUUGGGAUAGGCAACUUUUUUUCUCCCACAAAAAAAUUCAACAUGCUGUAACUUUUCAUAGAGUGCAUAAAAAAAUCUCAAAUUUUGACUGUUUGUCAAUCUAUUAUGUGUACAUCAUUGGUACAAAUUUGGGCUCGAUUGAUUAAUUUUUCGCGAAGUUAGAACCGUUCGCGUAAAACACUAUUUUUUAGACAACUCAUUUUUGAGCUGUCAUAACUCGGAAACCAGUGAACCAAAUUGAAUUAAUUUUUUAACGUUUAUCAACAAUAUAUUGAUACUCAAUACGACGUUAUAAAAUGUAAUAUUUUCUCACGGCGAAUUAAGUUAUAUCGGGUUGAAAUUUUUACCCAUAUAGAGGAAAAUAAGUAAAAUUAACAAUACCACACAAAAAUUAUUAAAAGUGUUUUUCCUUCAAUCUAAAUAGGCUCUAAUAUAUCUGAUUAGAGAUAAUUUGAGAACAGAAGUGGAAAAUCUUUGGAUAUCAACACUAAAAUUUAUUCACAUUAAUGUAAAAAAAUACAUUUUUUCGAGAAAAGUCCAAAAAGUGUCAAUCCAUGAUAACUUUUUUCAACGUUUAAAAAGUAUUUAUGUUUUAAUAGUUUGUGAAGCAUUUACAUAUUGUUAGUGUACGUUCAAAAUUUCAUUCAAUUCGGUUUACUGGUUUCCGAGAUAUGACAGCUCAAAAAUGCGUUGUCUAAAAAAAGGUGUUUUACCCGAAUGGUUCUAACUUUGCGAAAUAUUAAUCAAUCAAGCCCAAAUUUGUACCAAUGAUGCACAUAUAAAAGGUUGACAAACAGUCAAAAUUUGAGAUUUUUUGAUGCGCUCUAUGAAAAGUUAUAGCAUGCUGAACUUAUUUGUGAGAGAAAAAAAAGUUGCCUAUCCCAAACAUUUUGGCCAUCCCCUGUAGGUAAGUGCAAGAAAGUGCUUCUUGUUUCAGAUGAAUGUGUAGUGGAGCAACGUCAAAGAGAACUUCGAGCGCUGCCGUGGGAGUUGAAGAGAACGCUCCAGACAUCGCCAUCAAGCACAUCCUUUGGAGAUGAUGUAACUUUAAUUGGAUCGUCCUUAUUUCGCUCUUUUGCCACUACACAAGACAUCCAUAGGCCAAUAUUGGCCGAACAACAGUUGUGUAGAUCCAUUAGAUAUACUUGGGUUUAAGACUCCAAGUUGUACCAAAGGUUCGCCGGCAUUGCCCGAAGGCCAUACAAGCUUUCUUGAUUCUGCAUUCAAUGUGAGGUGCCCAGGAAAGCUUGGAAUCAAGGAUGACUCCAACGUACUUUACCUGUUCAGUCACAUCGAUUUCAGAAUCAAAGAGACGUAAAGGUCGAUCGCCAUUGCGGUUUCGCUUAUUCGUGAAAAUAACAAUAGAUGUUUUACUCGGAUUUACCGAAAGGCCAUUUUGGCGACACCAACCCUCAACCACCUGAAGGGCGCUUUGCAUCAGGUCAAAAAAUGUGCUGAUGUACAUACCAACUAACAAUGUUAGGUAGUCGUCCGCGAAACCAUAAGUAGGAAACUCGCUAUUAAUUGAGUUGCCUUCAUAGCCUCUUUGCUACGAUAUCCCACAAAAGCGGUGGCAAAACUCCCCCUUCGGAGGUAUCCACCGACACGUAAUUUCCUAAUCGCUGCUUGAUGCAAUGUCGAGCAGAGAUGUCAGUUUUUGGAGCAUUUGGUGGAUCCAAUUGAAAAUCAUUGGAGAUAUAUACUAUGACCCAGUGUGGCUUCCAAUAUGGCAUCGAGAGGCACGUUGUCAAAGGCACCCUCGAUAUCUAAGAGAACACCCAAGCAGGAUUGCUUUUGAGCGAAUGCUUUCUCGAUAUCGUAAACAACCUUGUGUAAAAGUUUUUUUUUUGUUCUUGGCAAACGACUUGUGUAAAAGAGUCACAGGGGACUUACCACCAUUGGUAGGCAUGUUGGUUCGCAUGAAGAGGCAUGUUGGCCAGAUAAACAUCACGGAUGUGAUGAUCAACAAUGCGUUCUAAGCAUUUCAGAAGAAAAGAGGUCAAACUGAUAGGUCUGAAACUCUUUGCUUCUUCAUACGACGCACGACCCACUUUUGGAAUAAACUUUACAGUAAUAUCCCACCAGGAUUUGAGAAUACACCCUGUAGCAAAACUGCAAAGAAGUAGUUAUUUUUCAAAACAUGAUUGAAAAAAUCAUAUUCCUUCUGAAGCAAAAAAGGAUAAAUCUCAUCUGCCCCAGGAGAUUUGAAAGGAGCAAAGCUAUUUAGUGCCCACUCAAUCGAUUCUAAGAUUAUGGUACUCCGGGUCGAAGCUAGAGAAUAAUAACUACAAGGAUAGAUAUCAGGUUCAUCUGAAGAUGUAAUAUCUGCACAUCCGGGGAAGUGCGUACUGAAUAAACAUUCCAAAACUUCCUCAUCAGAGGAAGUGAAAUCACCAUUUGGCAAACGAAGUUCGUUCACUUGAAAAUCCUUAGAUUGUGCAAGGAUUGUGUUCAAUCGACUGGCUUCACUCAGACUGGAAACAUUUGUACAAAGGUUUUUCCAGCCGGAUCGUUCAGCAGACCGAAAAGUUAUCUGGUAGGCCUUGCGAGCCGACCUGAAAGCCUCCGAUCCAGCCGAACGUCGUCUGUUCCAACUCUUUCUACAUUGUUUCCUGAGCUUCGCCAGAUCAGAGUUCCACCAAGGGGUUCCUCUUGUGGUCUUCACAGACCGCAGAGGGCAAGCUUCUUCAAAAGCUUCCAUGAUGAAGGCCGUUGUAGUAUUUGUAUUUGUAUUUGCUUAUAUCAUCUGACCUUUGUAGUCUUAAUGAAUGUAGUGGGAUGGGGAAAAGCUUCCUUGAGCCAGCCACAUUAUGCCAAGAACAAGAAAGCGUAAAAACCCAACGGCAUCACCUGAAUCACUUGGAGUGUCAGCGGAUGGUGAUUAUCCAUGAAAUUUGGCCGCAACCAAAUCGGUGAAGAGAUCCCAGUUGGUUGAUCGGGGAUUCCUGAAACGCAAAGUUUACGAAGUAACAUUCGCAUGUUCAAAAAAGAUUUGGCGAUGGUCAGAUGAAGUUUCUUCAUCUGACACAUGUCAUUUUGUCAGCUCGUGACUAAUUCUGCUAGAGCAAAGCGUUAUGUCUAACACUUCCUCUCUAUCAGAUACCAUGAAGGUUGGGCGGUUGCCUAUGUUAAGUAAUCCAAGAUCUGUACUACUUAAGUAUUCCAUCAAACUGAAGCCUCUCAAAUUGGUGUCUGAGCUGCCCCAGAUUACAUGGUGAGCAUUAGCAUGACUACCAACAAUUAGCGGAAGGCCUUUUGAAGUGCAGUAUGCAAUGACAUGUCACAAUAGAUCUAACAACUGGUCGCAGUGACUUAGAUAUCCAACAAGGAUAAAAAAAAAAUGCAAUGACUUGCUUGAAAGCAUCCGUAGAGGAUGGUUCAUCAUGCGGUAAAUAAACCGAACAAUAAAUGUAUUUCGUGUUGAGGUUUCCAACAGAUACAUCGAUUGUCUCUACAUACAUCUCUAGUAGUUAGUUCAGAGAUGAGUGUAUCAACGAUUGCGUUGUUGACAAGCACACAUGCUCGAGGCAUGACACGUGAGUUUGCCAUUUCAUGUUUACUGAAAGUAACAAACACCGGAUUCACAAGGUUUCCUAGAUAGAAAUUCCCCUUACGAAAGUAAGGUCUUGGACUAACGCCACUUGGGCUGUACCAUUUUGCAUUAGUCUAUGAAGAUUGAUCGUUGCUGUUUUUUUGUGCUGAAGAUUGAUCUGAGCUAUCCUAACCGUAACCACUACCCGAUCUAGGCAAGAUUAAACUCUUAACAAUCACAGCACAAAAAAGAACAGCAACAAUAAAGCCAGAUCGGUAUCGAUUUGAGUGCGCCAAAGGCGAGGAUGCACACUGUGUAAAACGCAUAAUGCGAAACCACAUAGGUGAAAAUUUAAACUAAUUUAUAACAUCUUCAUAAUCCCGCCCUUAUUCAGCCUGAACUGUGAGAUUGAAGAAGGGCAGCUGAUUGUCUCGGAGAAAUACAAGUUCCACCGCGCUAUUGCUCCGGUUAGCGCAGUAAGGGCAACAUACUGUGGUGGGUGCCCUGAUACUCCACAGGCUCCGUUUGCGAUUAGGUUUUUAUAAGACCCCCCUUACCAUUCAUUCCUAGGCACGGUAAGUAUAAAGCCGCAUAACACCUUGAAUUAGGAGUCACCUGUUGGUGGACUCUUACCACUGAAGCAGGCGGUCCGUAGUGUUAUUCCUAGCCAAUUGAGACAUUUGCUACCGACACUAUACAACUAUCAAGGCAAAACGAGAAAAGAAGAUAAUAUUAUUGAUCAACUUUAUACGAUACUGAGAAUAUUUUCCAAUGUUCAAUAAAGUUUCACACUUUGAGAUCAAAUUGCUGUCAAACUUCCUACAAACAAUGCAACAUCUCCUCAGUUUCCUCAUAUUCACCCCGGGAAACAUCAAAGCCCUGCUCCACUCUGCGUAACCCGGUCGCAAAUUAAAUAAUCCUCAGGAAUUUCAUCAAAGCAUCGUCAGCACGUUUGAUGUCCAUGCUAGGGAACAAGUGCGCAGAACACUGGCAGCAAUCCCGGCGCUACGGCGAGUUUCCUCAAAACAACUCGUCGGCAGCAGUGCGUGUGAUCCAGCAGACACACAGCCAGCGCCAUUGUGUGUCAAUGGAUUCGCCGACGAAGACUGAGUGGUGCAGUGGAGACAGACAAACAGACAGAUAGGGAAUCGUGGAACAAUUCCACCAACAAGCGGGUGUGCUGCUGCUACGAUUCAAACUGUGUAGAGUUUUCUCAGCUGUUGUGGCGCGAAUUUUCCAGAGGUGUGAAGCAUGCGCACUGCGUAUUGUUUUCCACCAUCGCAUCGCUUCGGAGAGCGAUGACACUCUCGAAAGGAUGGCUGCUUGGUAGUUGGAAAAUUUGCAACCACGAAUUGGAUUGAUAAAAAAAUGUUUGUAUGGGUGGAAGGAGAUGGUUUUUAUCAGUUUCGACAAAAAACGGGCUCCCUGCUUGUGUGUUGUGAAUGUAUCAUCAAUUUGGUCAUGCUGAAGCUAAGAUUAUGAUUCAUGUUCAAGUUUUUGUGCUUUAAAUUCAAAUUGUAUUGAAAUAGUUAGUUCAAACUAUUCGAGAUAUCUGAAUAAAUUGUAAUAAAAGUUCCUGAUUCACGCUUGAGGCAGGAUUCCUCACCAAUGGUUUGGGUAAAACUAAAACCCUUUUGACUCAAUUUUCAACUUGCCUCCGUAUUUCUUCCUGUUGACCAGCAUUAGCAACACACCCAUCCCUUUCACAAUCACAUGCUCUCACAUCCAAGGGGAUAGAACACUGACCGCUCGUUUAGUGGAAGGAAGGGACGUUUUCCUUUUUUCGGGUUCGAUUCAACUGGAGACGUUGUUCGUUGGUUCAGUGUCAUGUGUGCUACAACAGCGCUGAACCGUCAAGAUUUUCGCCGUCAAGUCGUUUUUGGGGAGCAUAUUUUGUGAAACUGAGCUUCGCGAAAUACUUGCUGGUGGUUCUGCUGUCCUCAUCGGAUCCUUAUUAUCUCUCGCAUAAUGAGGUGCGAUUCAACUGUGGGUUGGGUGCUCUCUCAUCCCCGAUGAGCGAUUCGCGUCAACAUAUUUGACGGGGGGUGAUGUGAUUAUUUUGAGGUUUUUUGAAACACGAUUUUUUUAUUCUUUUGUAAUGCCCAAUGAACUUUACCAAGUUAAUAAUUUCUUGCCACAGCUGAGAAAUCUUACGUGCCAUACAAAAACAUUUGGGAUCUCAUACAAAAAAUCUAACCAAGCGGGGUAGGAGGUAUCAAAAAAUCAUGAAAAUUCCCUCACCUAAUAAAUGGAUAGAAUCAGGAUCUCUCCAACUUAAGUAUUCCUCUCAUAUUUUCAUUAAAAAUUCUUUUAAGUAUUCUUCUAAGAAUAAUUAUGGAGUCUAUUCCUUCCCACACACUUCUUUCUCUACGAUUACAUCUAGGGAAUUUGCCAAAAAUUCCUUUAGGAAUUCAUUCAGAAUACAUGAUUUAUUACGACUCACUCAAAGAGCAAAUUUUCGGUGAUACCAAUCCGUGUGGUCAAUUAUGAAUUUCCAAUCAACGUACAGAUGGGUAAAUUAUUGGUUAAAUUGGGAAAAAAAUCCAUAGCUCAGGUGAGAUUUGAACUUACGACCCUUAUUCGCUAGACAAGUGCUUUACCAACUAAGCUACCGAGCCAAUUAAUGACCCGGCAACUUAGUUGUCAUAAGGUAAUUCAAAUCUCAUUGAUCUAUAUCAUCUUCCCCUAAACCGCAAAUAUACGUAGUUAUCCAUCGUAUCAGACAGAAUGCGAACGACGCGUUUGACCGCCUUCUAGGUAGCAAUUGUUCUUCCUCUAAAAGUGGUAGGGGAAGCGGUGUCUGUACGAUAGGCAAACAGUUUCAAACAAUAAGUAAAUCGCUUUCGCUCUUCGUACAUAUGUACAACAGAGAUGGUUAUAUUUGCGGUUUAGGGGAAGAUGAUAUAGAUCGAUGAGAUUUGAAUUACCUUAUGACAACUAAGUUGCCGGGUCAUUAAUUGGCUCGGUAGCUUAGUUGGUAAAGCACUUGUCUAGCGAAUAAGGGUCGUGAGUUCAAAUCUCACCUAAGCCGUGGAUUUUCUCCCAAUUUAACCAAUAAUUUACCCAUUUGUACAUAUGUACGUUGAGUUAUUUGAAAUUCAUACAGGAUUUAUUGUUUUCAAGGCUUUUUUUAGGAGGAAAAUUCUUGCAGAAUUCCUUAGAAUUAUUUUUAUCCAUGUAUUAUUUUUGAAAAAUUCUUCAAUUUUUUCAAACGUUUCUCAAACAAUUUUAUCUUGAAAAGACCGUACCAAAACUUGACCAAAACCGUACACUACGUCAGCGAGCUGCUGCCAGCGUGACACAAAAGGAAGGUUAAAGGAAUUCUACAACGAUUAUUGAAAUGUUCUCCACGAGUUUUUCUUUACAAUUCCCUUCAAAGAUUUCUUCUAAAGAUGUAAUUUUAGGGGAUUUUUUUUUAACAGAGAUAAGGAGUUCCUUUCAGUUUUCCAGGAAUUACUUUUUUCAAACCUUUUCUCAAGAAUUGCUUCAAUUUUUUUUUUUUUGAAAAUAGUGUGACGAUGAGUAUUAUCAGCAGGUUUAAUCUUUUCGUCAUGAAGGGUUUCUGUCGCCAAAAUUUCCUAAAACUUUCGGCAAACUCCUAAACCUGCGAAGAAACUUAGUAUAAUCCAACAGUAACUGCAGUAACAGCAAUUUCCAUAGGGAUUUAUACAGAGAUUUAAAAAAAAAUAAUGUUGUUUUCUCCAGGUAUCCCUCCCUUUCUUAAACAGAAUCCCGGCUAGAAAACUGUAACAAAAAUAUAACAUAAUUCUAACCAACCAUGAUAUUUAUAACUCAUUGUGAUAUAAUCAUGUUCAACAUCCUUGGUGUUUUACAAUUACUAUAACUCAAUUAUAUCACAUUAUGUUAUAAAUGUUGUUCGAUAACUCGUUGUAUUAUAAUUAAGUUCCGAGUUCCCGAUAUUUUAAAGAUUGUGCUACAAAACUGUAUCAAGUUUUGAUAGAAAUCAGUAAUCCUGUGGCAAAAAUUCAUAUCAUAUUUUGUUAUAAUGUUGAUAUAAAUAUAGCAAAAUAGGCUAUAAUCUUGAUUAGACCAGUGUACUUUUUGUUACAAUUUUAGUUAUUUUAACAUCGUCCUGCAUCUAGUUUAUAACAUAAUACGUUAUAGAAAAAUAUUGUAACAUCAUAACACAAUAUGAUAUAAAUUUGAUAUCAUUUUCUAGUCGGGAUGGCUUCCGGAGUCCCUCCAGAAGUUGUUCUUGUUAUUUUUAUAGGAAUCACUGAGGAGUUUUCACAGGCAUUUUCUCAAGCCUUCAUCCAGAGAUAGCUCUAAAAAUUGAUUCAAAUUUCUCGUUAUCAAAAAGGGUUUUCUCCAGGGAUUUCUUUAGAUAUUCCUUCAGGAUUUCAUUUAAAAAUUAUAAAAAUUAAGUUGUUGUACUAGUAACUGAGAGAACUUUAAAAAAAAAACGCUGGAAAAUAUCUAAAUCCUGGAGAAACUAAGGAUUUCUUGGAGGAACCCUUGGAAGGGUUUCUGAAGGAAUCUCUAAAGGAUUUUUUAAGUUUUUAGAGAAAUUUCCAAAAUUCAAGUAAAAGAACUUUUGAAGUCAGCCUUUUCUGAAAAUUUGAAAUAGUCUUUUGAAAGAAUAACUCUUGGAGGAUUUUGUUAAUGUAAUCCUGGAGUAAUAUGUGGAAAAUUUUUGAAGGAAUCCUGCUAGAAAUACUUGAAGUAACGCCUUGAUACACUUCUGUAAAGAUCCACAGAAAAAGCUCUCAGCAAAGACAAACAGACAUAACAUUUUUCGAAGGGGCUUGGCACAAGCAUUUAACGAUUAACUUAUAUUUCUUUUGAUUCCCGCGAACUUUCCACCAGAGGCGUUAGUGCUCGAUCGCUUUGACGUUUGUCAGUGUAUACGUUGCUUUAUGACGCAAACGAAAAUUACAGGCGAUUUGUGUAGUAGUGUGCGUGUUAGGCAAACGUCAAAUCGCAAUCCAUCAUGGCUAAGAGUUUUUUGCGUGGUUCAACCAAUAGAUGGCAGCCUGUUUAUAAAAAUGAUUUCGAGCAAUGUUUUUAAAUGAAAUUCCUCUAAGAUUUAUGUUUGUGUGUCGGUGCUUUUAUAAUAUUUCUAGAAGAAUAUUACUAGAAAUUCCUAGGAAACAUUUUUGAUUAAAUUCCUUUUAAAAUCCUUGUAGAAACUCUAAGAAGCGUCCGGGAUGCCAGAUAAUUAAAAAAAAUCUGUAUCACUCUUUACAAAAAUCUGUAUCCCAUACAAAAAUAAAGAAAGCCUUUGUAGCUCGAAAAUCUGUAUCUAUAUAUAUAUAUGAAAAUGCAGUGGCAUACGUGGGACCGCGCAUAACUUGCGAACAAAUGGUCCGAUUUGGGUCGUCUAAGUUUUGUUCUGUUAGUUUUCACCCAAGGAAGGUUUAUGAGGCCUAAAACAUGAGAAAAUUGAGAGUUUUUGAAAAUCAGGUUUUCAUACAUUUUGAACGGGGGCUUAGGCGCUUGGCUAGGGACUUGAAACGUCAGAAAUCGCAGUAGGCAAGACAAAGUUUGCCGGGGACAGCUAGUUUCAUAUAAAACGAAAUCGUACAGUGCUGAAAAAUCUGUAAAAUACAGAUAAAUCUGAAUAUACGGCAUCCAUGAGAGGGAACGCCAGAGAAAUCUCUGAGUAAAUGCAUGAAGGAAAUUUUUGUUUGAACUCCUGCUGGAAUCUCUGGAGGAAUUCUUGCCUGAACCACUGAAAGUUAUAAAUGCAAGAAUCUCCGGAUACUGCAUGAUAUUCUAAAUAAAUCCCUGAAGAAAUUACUGGAUAUAUUCCAGCGAGGUUUUUUUUUAUGGAAUCUCUAGUGCGAUUUCUGAAGGAACUUCCAGAGAACUUGCUAUCAACGGACAGAAUUGUUGACAGAUUUUUUUUUUAAGAAUUUCUGAGAAAAUACCUGUUGAGAAAUCUAAAGGAAUCCCUGCGGAAAUUUCCGAAUGAUUUUCUAAACGAAUCCUUAGUAGAAAUUCUAAAGUAAUAAUUAGCAGAGUUUCAAAAGAAAUCCAUAGAAAUCUUCCUAAAACAAUCUGGACAAUGGGAAUUUCUGGAAAAAAUCUUGAGGGAAAAUAUCUGCAGUAAGCCCUGUAGAAAUUUCUUAAAAAAACCCUGGAAGAUUUUUUUCUGAAGGAAACUUUGAAAUGAUUUCUCAAGAAGUCAGUGAAGGAGUUCCUGGAAAAAUGUGCAGAAAAUUCUCGAGAAAUGUCUGAAGCAAUCCAUGGGAGAUGUUCUUAAAUAACUGUCCAAUGGAAUCCAUGGAAGAAAAGUGUUCCAUGGAUUCCAUUGGAUAGCUCCUGGAGAAUUUUCUGAAAGAAUUCAUUGAGCAAUUUAAAAAAAAAGUUUUAUAAAGGAGUUUUUAAGUAAAUUUCCAAAGUUAUCUCUAGAAAAUGUGGAUAAAAUUCUAAUUGAUAACACUAGUUUACAGCAUUUUUGAACUCGGUAAGCUGAUGAUCGUUUUUGGUGUAGAAUCAUGCCCUAAGUUCGAAAUCGCGAAGGAAAAAAAUUACAGUGGAGCGAAAUUUUUUUUGACUUUCCAUACAAGGUUGAUGAUUUGAAAUCGAUUUUUGUUCUAUUUUUAAGCAAAGUCGUUCACUUCACACAUCUGAUUCUCUGUAAUCAAUGCUCCGAUUGAGCUGAUUUUUUUACUGUAACUCGCCUACAUAUGAUAUGUCAAAUAUACGUUGAGAAAGAAUUUUUAAAUUGUUUCUUUCUUAUUGAAAAAAAUACAUUUCUUCAUAUAUUUUUGGAAAAAUUGCUGAUCGAAUGGCAUUAUAUUCAGCUCUUAAUUUAUGGAAAAAGAUUUAAAAUUGGUUGAACGAAACGUAAGAUAUUUGAAUUUUAGUAAAUUCCAUAUUUUAAAAAGUUGUAAAGCUCAAUAUUAAGCUAAAACUCAAAAUCUGUACUACUUUAAUUUUUUUUUUUGAAGCACGGUUUCGAAAUCACCGCUAAAUUAUGCUUCAAAAAUUUUGGUCGUUGACAGAAGUUCACGACUUUCGUUUUAUUUUGUAAACUAGUGUAUCUAAGAAUCAUCUCUGCAGUGGAGUCUAGUUCGUCGUUCAGCGGCACUCAUCAGACAACGGAGCCUAGGCAAUCUCGGUUUAGAUCCCAGUCGAGCUCCCAAACCAGGUCGAGCGUCCACAGUCAGGUGUGAUAAGCAACAACUUUUCAUAAACUACCUCUCCACCUUGACCAUUAUACAGCUAUGUACGCAAAUUCGUUUGUCGACUACGAACUUCCUAAGAAGUAAAAACACGCUUUGCGGUCAAGACAACGGUUCAUCAGCAGCGAGAAUCAGCGGUACACCAACACUUCUAUCGCGCCAAGAAGUGUACCGCGCGCCGUUCGCGAUCGUGAGAAAUCGCACCCUGCAUCUUUGGAAACAGGGAGCAGGGAUCUCUGCAGUACACCAGCUGGCUUCUGGAUAGGAGGAGUGGAGAGUCGGAGAUCGACGACCAACAAUCGGUUCGACGCGGCUUGAAGCUUACGGCCACUAUCGGGCGCAGCGGAAUCGCACCUGGGAGAACUGGGAGAGGAGGAGUACGUAGCAGCGCCUACGGCAGGUUCGGGAGAUUGGGACCCUGAAAGCAACUCAGCGAGUAGGGAGGCUCCAAAUGCCAUAAACAGCGACUGCAUGAAGCCUACGGAGGGCUCGGGAGAUUGGAACCCUGAAAGUUGGAGGAUGGUCCCAAAUACCAACAGAAGUAUCGGCACAGCGAAGGUAGGAGGACACAGCCGGCGAGGGAGAUUGGGACUCCGAAAGCUAGUAAGGUGACGCCAAAUGCCAUCGACAGACAAGCUAUGCAGACAGCGAGCAGGGAGCUGUUAACAACGAGCCUACGCACCACCGAAACACGUCUUACGGCAUUGGCUAGAGGACCAAGAUCAUCAAGCGAAACCUCGCCUCAUACUGAGUGUUUUGCCACAGGAACGGCAUAGCACAGAAGAUGGGACAAGAACUAGCGCAGAGACAUUUGCUCAUUUGUGAGCGUUCAGAUCACCUUUGGCAGGACUCGCUGCCGUUAUGUUUGUUUUGAUUAUGUUUUGAGCUUUUGGAUCUGGCGAACAACAAGGUUCGCGUUUGUUAGUUUUGCUGUAGUUAUCAACAUCUUGAGGUCUGCUCAAGCGAUAACCAUCAGAUCUGCUCAAGUCUCUCUGCGACUUCUUGAGGAAGUGAGUCUGAGAGUUUUUUGUGAGCUGCCUGUCAGCGCUCGCAAAAAACUCUGCGCCUGUGGUAAGGUUGUCUUACGUUUUAGUAUAUUCUGUUGUAAAUUGGCAUAAUUACAUUCAUAAUCAGUUAAACUAGCCACACUCGGAGGAAAAGCAAACCCUCAAAUAAUGCCCACUCGAACUGACAUGCCAACCGCCAAUUUAAAUUGCACCCGUUAGACCGACAAACGCUUAUGCCGACAAGCCCGACGCGGCUGUCGAUCAAGCAAAGCGGCGCGACGAACGCCGCCAACACACAUACUGCUGCAUCGGGUUCAGAAAACACAAAACUUCUGAUCAGUCGCCACGUCACCGCAAAGCAUCACUCCACAAAAGUUGUUCGGUAGUGUCGGGUGUGCUCAUCGUGUGUGGAUCGUUUAGCAUCCACGAACAAAUAGAGAAGGCGAAAAUCAAAGACGGUUAAGUUGAGAGGUCGAGCAGAACCACACGGGAACGGUUGCCGUGUCCCAUACGGCACGGUGAAGCACGGACGACACGCCUGGCAUCGAACAAUCGACAAAAGCACACUCUGGAUCGCCACGUGUCUGGAAAGAAACGAAGCUCUCGAUCGAUCCGAAGCAGCAGGCCAAACGGUGCGUUCAGCACGAGAAAAAUCAAAAACCCCUCUGGGUAAGUCGCCGGCGAAUGACCAGCAUAAUUUAUCUGGCUAAUAAUGCGUAAUUCUCCAGGGUUUUUAUAUCGCACUGGAUUGCGUCACACCAUCGCUUUUCGGAGGCGGUAAUCACCGUCCAAGGUGCACGCAAGGCCAGGCAGCUUCGAUCGGACCAGAAGACCGGAAUCAGUUCCCUCGGACGGAUCAGCGGAAGCAGGAGCUACAGGCGGCUUCGGAAGAGGCCUACGAACACAGGGCAUCGCUGUUGAAGUGAGGUUAUGCUCCGGAUGUAACAUCACGGGAAGAAGGCCGUCCGUACAGAACUGCGAGUGCGAAAGGCGUCGGAAAGAGGCACGUUCCGAAGAGUGCCGGAUUCGAGCGAUGCGUCGAGAGGAACAAACACGACGCUGGGCUGAUAUCACGGGUGACGUGGCGCAGUGAGGAGAAGCACGUUUGCCGAAUGUGCUCGGUUGGCGACGGCGGGCAGGAAGAACCAAAGUGUGGAAUGUGACUUUGGUACCGUGAGUACCCGCUAGAUUUAAGUAAAAAUGAGAGGAUAAAGGUAGCGUCAGGUCGUUAGGAGAUAGUGCAGCAGGAGAGCAGGAUGAUUUCUGCAAAAUAUAUGUGUGGGAAAAUGUGA